rnacentral:rRNA from 1 species
CCUACGGGGGGCUGCAGUGAGGAAUAUUGGUCAAUGGACGCAAGUCUGAACCAGCCAUGCCGCGUGCAGGAAGACGGCUCUAUGAGUUGUAAACUGCUUUUGUACGAGGGUAAACGCAGAUACGCGUAUCUGUCUGAAAGUAUCGUACGAAUAAGGAUCGGCUAACUCCGUGCCAGCAGCCGCGGUAAUACGGAGGAUUCAAGCGUUAUCCGGAUUUAUUGGGUUUAAAGGGUGCGUAGGCGGUCGGAUAAGUUAGCGGUGAAAUCCCGAGGCUCAACUUCGGAAUUGCCUCUGAUACUGUUCGGCUAGAGAGUAGUUGCGGUAGGCGGAAUGUAUGGUGUAGCGGUGAAAUGCUUAGAGAUCAUACAGAACACCGAUUGCGAAGGCAGCUUACCAAGCUACUUCUGACGUUGAGGCACGAAAGCGUGGGGAGCGAACAGGAUUAGAUACCCCUGUAGUC